UAUUGUACUUUGAUGUUUCCAGAUUUUUUUUCAAAAAGGCUUUUAAGUAUCAUUUAUUGAAUUAUAACAAAAGAAUGAGCAAAAGUCUAUGUGCCGAUUAGCUUUGUAAUAGAACUAAUAGAUUCAAGUUAGCCCUACCUUACCCACUUCCAAAAAAAUAAUUUAAAAAAAAUUCCUUGGUUUCAUAAUAUGUAUUUAUUGACACAUUUCAAUUGAUUAUUCUACAGUUCCAAAAGUACCUGUGAGAAAUGGCAGGGUAUCAGUAAUAAAUUUGACUGAGCACGUUGAUCAGGAAAAGGUUACCAUGUAGCAGCUGACGCAUGGUAGCUGCCCCUGUGCAUCCUCUCAGCCUCUAACAAGCAGCUGGCAGUUGGAGUGGGCUCAGCCCCCCGUGCAGGUGGGUGAGGGGAGAUUGCCUCACCUUGUGUUUGCUGUGGGGAGAUAUUGAGCAUGCAGGCAGUUCCUGCAGCUCAGAAGAAACUUGAUAUCUUGUGGUAUCUUGUUUGUGUGUAUAAGCCAUGGAUGUGCAUGCCUUGCUAGUUCUGUUAACAAUUGAAAACAAAUGUUUAUUUAAAUUUAUUUACACAUCCCACACACAGAUUGAGUGUAGGUGUGCUGGCAGGAGUGAGACUUUAGGAAGGCUUUCAUAAAGGUGAAGGAAAUGGCUUAGCAGCUAGGUUUCAAGGAGACUCCCCAAAUGCAAGGAGCAACGUGAGACUGUGGAGGCAUUUGUGAUGGUAUCGAGGUAGGCACUGCUGGCAGAGCAGGUGCAGUUUGUGAGGCAGGGGAGCUGACCUCAGUUUCGGAGGUUGGAAUAUUGCUGAAGAUCUAAAUUCCACAUUACUUCAGAACAUGAGCACGACUGAAAAGUAAGCUAGCUGUGUUUUCCAAGAACUGUUUGAUCCAAAGUGGGCAAAACCAUCUUAGAAACAUGAGAAAAAAAGAAAAGGAUAAUGGGCCAGUGUUCAAGACAUGAAUCCACAUUAUGCAUUCCACAAUGUGAUGUGUCAGAGCAAAAAGUCCUAAGCUGGUUUAUCCUCUAAUUGUUCUGGGUUUGUGCAAAAGUCAGUCCCAGAAGUGAAACUUGUGCAGACAACCCCUUCCUCACUUACUUUGCUCAGUCUCAUAAAUGACACUAACUAUCAGCUUUGCUUCCAGAGGUUUUCCAGACCUCUGCUGUUUCUUUUUGGUCUGCCUGUAUUUGUCUGCUAUUUUUCUCUAGGUCGACAUACUCAAAGCAGAGCCUAAGAAUGUGAAGAUUAUCCACUUCCAGUAUCUUCUCUUCAUGGACAGACUCGUAUAGUAUCUGCUGAUGAAUGACAGCUUAUUGUUCUUUCUCAUUAUAGUAACAUGUAAAUCUACUGACUGUGACUAGGGAAACUGGGAGCUUGUUUGCCCUAUAAACUUUCUCAAGUGCCUGCUGGAGGCACAGUGUGUUUCCCCAAUCACUGUGCUUCACCAGCAAUUUCUGAGAAUGCAAAACAAACAAAUAAUCCUAAUGUGCAUAGCACGUUACAGGCAGGAAGGAUAUGUUUUAAUGUAAAUUGACUUAAAAGUUCUCAGGCUGAAUUGCCUGAAGUGGUUAGGAGUUAGCUGAUGGUGUAUAAUAGCUGCUCAGGUUUUUUCUUGCUUCUUGGUGCAGACAGCAUUGAUUGGCUGGACUGAUUAUAGCCCUACACGUCAAAAAGGUGCAAGUUGUUCUUAACGCUAGAAAAUCGGCUCUUGUGUGAGCAGGCUUAAUGCAUGAUAAGCUAUAUGGUGUAGACAUAAAUUUUGUGUGCUUGAAACUGACGUGAACUUUGCUUGUAUAACAUAGCCAUGUAGAUAUGGCCAAUAGCUGUUAGUUUUUGUUGCAGCUCAUAUUUAUUGCUUGUAUUUAAAGUAAAAAUCAGUACCAUGCAAUUUUAUACAAUUCGGGGGAAAAAAAAAAAAAAAAAAAAAAAAUGAAUUGUCCUUCUGCCAAAGUUUAAGUGCUACAUUUUUUCAUUAGAAUUUAGCAAAUGUUCAUCUUAAAAUAGACUGACAAUGGGUCAAACUGCUCCACUUUAUCUGUUAUGAACUUAAAAUUUAUCAAAGCUAGUACUCACUCUUCCCAGAACAAUUUGUAUUUUUGAUCCUGGAUUUAACUAUCAAAUUCUCCUUUGAAACUACUGUUUAUUAGACAUAAUAUCCUAAAAUAUUUGAAAAAGAUGACUGCAAGUCUUCCGUUUUCACCUCUUUCACCUCUUGCAUACGACAUGUUAUGUAUUUGUUUUGGGGUGUUAUUAUUUUUUGUAAAACUUUAUCUCUAAUGCAGAAGUAGUGUAGUUUAUUCAUUGGAUAUUCUUGAAAAAGGUAGCUGCUUCCUUGUCUGAGCUCUGACAUUCCUCUUUAUCUUGGCCAGCAAUGACCAUUCCAUGAAUGCUGUGAAUCAAAGUUUGGAGUAUAAACUAAUUCUUCCUUCUCCCUUAUAUUUGUAUUCCACUUCAUCGUUUGCAGGCCCUCAUCUUGAACAGGGACUCUUCUUGAUGUCAUAAUAUAACUAAUACUAAUACUUGAGGGAUUAGUGUGAUCCAGUAUGAGGAAGGGUAUCUUCAUCUUGCCCUCUUGUGGUAAAGUAUAUUAAAUCCAGGAUUUAAAAAGUAGACUAAGCAUUGAUGGGAUUAAACAUACUACAUAUCUUUAAGGAAGGCACAUUCAUUCUUUAGAGUUUAGUACUAAGUCCCACAUUGAACUAAAUCCAAAAAUGAAAUGUAGAUUCUGGCAUAUCUAAAAACGUUGAGCUGGAUCUCUUGGUUCUUGCUUUGAUGCGGCAAUAUUCUUCUAGUGCCUGAACAACAUCUUGGGUAGAGAUGAAAAUAUAACACAGAGCUUUUUAAUUUCAUUGUGUUAUUUAUAACAAUUGUCUAAGUCAAAUUAGAAGUAAAUGGCUACUAAUCUUUGUGUGUAUGUGUAUGUGUGCCCAACGGUUCCUAAAUGCCACUAAGAAAUUAGAGUAAUUUUGAUAUUAAAAUGAUUACUACCACUUUUGCAAUAAAAUGAUGCGACUUU